rnacentral:rRNA from 1 species
UACGUAGGGACCGAGCGUUGUCCGGAUUCAUUGGGCGUAAAGAGCUCGUAGGCGGCCACUCAAGUCGAAUGUGAAACCUCGAGGCUUAACCUCGAGCCUGCAUUCGAUACUGGGCGGCUAGAGUCUGGUAGGGGGAUCUGGAAUUCCUGGUGUAGCGGUGGAAUGCGCAGAUAUCAGGAGGAACACCAGUGGCGAAGGCGGCUCACUGGCCCGGUACUGACGCUGAGGCACGAAAGCGUGGGGAGCAAACAGG